rnacentral:rRNA from 1 species
AAGUCGUAACAAGGUUUCCGUAGGUGAACCUGCGGAAGGAUCAUUACUGAAAUGUAAUAACUUCUAUUGAAAGGUUCCAGAGUAGGCGCUACAACGCCGAAAUGACCUUCUCACCCUUGUGUACUCACUAUGUUGCUUUGGCGGGUCGACCUGGUUCCGACCCAGGCGGCCGGCGCCCCCAGCCUUAACUGGCCAGGACGCCCGGCUAAGUGCCCGCCAGUAUACAAAACUCAAGAAUUCAUUUUGUGAAGUCCUGAUAUAUCAUUUAAUUGAUUAAAACUUUCAACAACGGAUCUCUUGGUUCUGGCAUCGAUGAAGAACGCAGCGAAAUGCGAUAAGUAAUGUGAAUUGCAGAAUUCAGUGAAUCAUCGAAUCUUUGAACGCACAUUGCGCCCUCUGGUAUUCCGGAGGGCAUGCCUGUUCGAGCGUCAUUUCAACCCUCAAGCUCUGCUUGGUAUUGGGCAACGUCCGCUGCCGGACGUGCCUUGAAGACCUCGGCGACGGCGUCCUAGCCUCGAGCGUAGUAGUAAAAUAUCUCGCUUUGGAGUGCUGGGCGACGGCCGCCGGACAAUCGACCUUCGGUCUAUUUUUCCAAGGUUGACCUCGGAUCAGGUAGGGAUACCCGCUGAACUUAAGCAUAUCAAUAA